rnacentral:tRNA from 1 species
UGGCGGGUAGUGUAAUGGUAGCACCUGAGAAUUUGGAUCUCAUUGUCAAGGUUCAAAUCCUUGCCCGCCAG